rnacentral:rRNA from 1 species
CCCUUAGAUGUUCUGAACCGCACGCGUGUUACACUGAUGCAUUCAACGAGCUUUACCUUGGCCGAGAGGCCUGGGAAAUCUUUUUAGCAUGCAUCGUGAUAGGGAUUGAUUAUUGCAAUUAUUAAUCAUGAACGAGGAAUUCCUAGUAAACGCAUUUCAUCAAAAUGCAUUGAUUACGUCCCUGCCCUUUGUACACACCGCCCGUCGCACCUACCGAUUGAGUGGUCCGGUGAAGUCUCGAGAUUGUGGCAAUCUCCUUUAUUGGAGUUUGACUGCGAGAACUUGCCUAAACCUUAUCACUUAGAGGAGGGUGAAGUCGUAACA